AUACGGAGGGUGCAAGCGUUAUUCGGAAUCACUGGGCGUAAAGGACACGUAGGCGGGAAGCCAAGUCUGAUGUGAAAUCCUACAGCUUAACUGUAGAACUGCAUUUGAAACUGCUAACCUAGAGUAUGGGAGGGGGAGAUGGAAUUAGUGGUGUAGGGGUAAAAUCCGUAGAUAUCACUAGGAAUACCUAAAGCGAAGGCGAGCUCCUGGAACAUUACUGACGCUAAGGCGUUAAAGCGUGGGGAGCAAACGGGAUUAGAAACCCCUGUAGUCC
rnacentral:rRNA from 1 species